rnacentral:rRNA from 1 species
UGGGGAAUAUUGCACAAUGGGCGCAAGCCUGAUGCAGCCAUGCCGCGUGUAUGAAGAAGGCCUUCGGGUUGUAAAGUACUUUCAGCGAGGAGGAAGGCGUUGUGGUUAAUAACCGCAACGAUUGACGUUACUCGCAGAAGAAGCACCGGCUAACUCCGUGCCAGCAGCCGCGGUAAUACGGAGGGUGCAAGCGUUAAUCGGAAUUACUGGGCGUAAAGCGCACGCAGGCGGUUUGUCAAGUCGGAUGUGAAAUCCCCGGGCUCAACCUGGGAACUGCAUCCGAAACUGGCAGACUAGAGUCUUGUAGAGGGGGGUAGAAUUCCAGGUGUAGCGGUGAAAUGCGUAGAGAUCUGGAGGAAUACCGGUGGCGAAGGCGGCCCCCUGGACAAAGACUGACGCUCAGGUGCGAAAGCGUGGGGAGCAAACA